AACUACAAAAUCUAAUAUCUGAAGGUCAAUGGAGCUCCAGUCUCAGGCUUCCCUGGUAUCUAGUCACUGGAGCUAAAUGCAAGGAAGGGAAGCAGGGGGAAGGUCCUUUGAAUAUGAAGUAGGAAAGCACCUCUGGUACCAGCACUUCAAGACUAUGUCAAAGAAAAUUCUUUGGUUGAAGGUUUUCAGACCAUUCUGAUAGCAUAAAUGCAGGCUGCAAACUUGUUUUAAAGCUGCCUUGUGGUAGUGAAUUCUCAGGAGAGACCUUUUUCUUCCUUCUACUCAAAGCCAAGGUCUAAGUAAGCAUGUUUCAUUGCAGUCCGCUUCUGUCAUAGAAGAUUCCUUUCUAAUUUACUCUUUUCAUGGAGGCUAUUGUAAUUUGGGGGUCCCAAUUUUACAUGAACUUGUUGGACUCCCUGCCUCGGACAAAGCCUUGGAUUUGGCUUCUGUCCUCUAUAUUUAAUAAGUUAUCAGAACUUAAGUUCAAGGACAUCAUGGUUAGGUAGAUGUCUUUGAGUUUUCUGAAAGCUGUCUUUUGUGCUUACUCUUCUGGAUCCUGCUUGAACAUUAUUCCUGGCCUCUAAGGUUAUGUUACUUUUAGUUUCUGUUUUAUCUUAUUUCAUUUCCAGGAUUUUUAGGCGGAGGGUAAUUUAGGAAGUAGUUAAUUGUACAUACUAGGAGAAACAGAAGUUCGAGCAUGUAUUUUUCAGAAAGUUCCCCAAGUGAUUCUACAUUCUAUAUAGAAUGAGGUUUGGUUACUAGUGUUCUCAACUAUGGCUACACAGUAGAAACAAUUCCUUGAUUCCUUCUAACAAAAACAGCACUUUAUCUAUUUCAUCCCUUUUACCUCAUUUCCACCUCUCAUGGCUUCAUGAGGAAUUUCAGGAGCUGUGAGCAGGAGUCCUUGCAGAGACAGUGAAUUGGACCUGACACCUGGCAGGUGCUCCACAAAUAUCUAUUGACUGAAUGAAUGAAGCAAAAUGAGAAAGCAAAGGAGGGAAGAGAAAAGAGAAGAGAGACAGAAAACUAUUUUUGAAGGAGCAAAGUGCACUCUGGUGGGGAUUUGUGAAAAGAGCUCUACAACUCCUCCUCCACUUACUAAAGGGAGAGUUCUACAGAUAAAGGAAUCCACUCAUUCAACAGGUAAGUGCCAGGCACUGCAAGCUAUCACAGUGACACCCAGAACAGGCCUGGCUCCUGCCCUCAAGAUGCCCGGUCCUGCAGCUACUCUACAGUCUCCUAGGUGCUUACUACCUCCCCCACCACCCACCGCCACUGUCAUAGGGAAGAUUCAGGCUGAGUUGCAGAGGUGCUCAUGAGAGAUUGGUGAAUAGUAGACGUGACAGAAAACAGCAAUCAGGACUCACGCCACAGCCGCAGUGACAUGCGCAAUCAGAAACCUACCCCACAUUGUUGAAAGUUGAAACCCUUGUGGUCCAUGAAGUUACAGUGGAUAGUACAGGAUAAAGGCAUAGGCCACACUCUUCUUUGGUGUGUGGUUUCAGUUUGCCUUGCCUCACUUCUCUUCCCCUCCAUUGUUUCCUUCUAUAGGAUAUAGUUCUCAUAUCUCUUGGGCUAUCUAUGUGUGCGACAGUAAUAUCCUCUGAAAUAUCCCCAUAAAGACAAACAUUCUUACUAUGUAUUUUUGGAUUUGCUUCAAAACAACCCAGUAGAGGAGAUGGGGCCUGCGAAGUGAGUAGGGCACGAGACUGACCACAGAUAAAAGAAGUAGGGUGAUGGGUACCUGAGGUUCAUUACACUACUCUACUUUGAUAUGUUUUUAAAAAUUACUCAUAAAAAAGUUAAAAUAAAUACGUUAGAAAAAAACUUACUGCAUCAACAUUUUACCCUGAUAAUAUGGUGGUAGGAAUUAACCACGAAUCUUCAAGCAUGACAGAAAAGCACUAACUUGCAUUCAUGUGUCACUGUCUUUUAAAAUAAGGGAGCCACAUCUUCAACUCUCUUUCAGUCCUCUUUACUCUCUCCCAGACUAAAUCCUACCUCAAUACUUUGUAAUUUGGGUAUUUACCAGCUUUUUAAGAAAGCAAUCAGUGAUAUUACACGUUAAGACCAACUCUUUUAGCAAGCACUUUAAACUGUCACAUUUUAAAAUAAUUUUUCUGAAAAGGUGUUUUUAAAUGGGCAAAACAUAUUUGAAGCAAUACUUCAAAUAUUUGUGCAAUAAAAUAAAUGUGGCGAUGCAGGUAAUUUGCUUUAUUUUCCAAGUGGUUCAUCCCACUCUCCUUAAAUAAUAACUAGGAAGACUUCAUGCAUCAACUCUUGCCCAGGGGAUUAGUUCUACACCAAAAUGCAAGUCUCAGGAAAAAAACUAGAACCUGAGACCUAAUAUAUUUUCAAUAUGACUAAAGUUUAUCACAGGAAUCCAAGUCAGGUCCAAAACUGUGCCCAGCGAUGAUUUUGGCAGACGUGCAUUCUGGAUCAUCCAUGGAGCUAUUUAAAAAUUACUUGGUAUGUUACCACGACAGAUUUGAAAGAUCAAAACACAGGUGUGUGUCAGUGUUGCACAAUACUGCGGUAAGGGAGACCAUGAGAUCAUUCCACCUAGAAACAGACCCAAACACAAACAUCCAUCUGGGGUUCAGGUGUACGGCUGUCUGCAGGCAGAUGAAUUCAUGGCUGGAGUUUUGUUCUGAUAUAAAUAUGCUCUGAUAAGAAAUAGAGUUUUAAUAUAUUAAUGUUACUCUAAACUGGGUGGGUCUUUUUUAGCUGACAAGCAUCUUAUACACUUGCCUUUAUGCUAUUUUUAACCUCUUCAAAGACUUAUUUCUCAAUAUAAAUAGGUUACAGUCACUCAUAAUUUAAAUACCAUUAUUUAUUCUUUUCAGCCUCAACAAACAUAGGAAAGUAGCAUAAAAGUUUAAGGACUGAAGAAGCACAAAUCUUUUCCAUUUUGCUAUCAAUAAAGAAAAAAAUUAUCAAGAUAGUCUUAAGAAAAUAAAUGACUUAAUUAAAGCCAUCACACAAAGUAGUAUGUGCACUUCUUCCAGUGAAUCAUUUAACAUUAAAUAGUUCCUAUGUGUAAGGUAUUACACACUAAUUAUUUCAUGAGUUUUAGAACUAUAUGGGGAAAAGGUGAGAGUGUGUAUUAGAGAGAGAGAGAGAGAGACAGAGACAGAGACACCUGGAAAAUUGAAUAGAAGGCAAUCCUGGUUCCUAAUGCCACAAUGGCCUGGAUCUUUGUUCAA